AGUUUUAACACUAGUGGCGUUGUAUUUCAUCAGGUUUUAUUCACAUCCACAAAGUUGUCAAUGAGGGCACAACAAUGCCCUAAUUUGACUCUAACAUAACACAACUGCUAUUUUGUUGCAGAUACCAUUGACAAGAAGGCGGCUUGCAGCUCAGUCUCUCCAAAGAGGAACAAUACCUAAGUUACAGCCUCUAAAGCCGGAGGAGGAAAGAGAUCCAGAUUUCAGCCACUUUUUUGGCACUAGUCAUGUCUACGACAAAGACGAGAACCUUGGAAAUACAUUCCUGCUGCCCUGGGUUUAAAACCAAAAUGCUUAAAUCUAUUGUAUGAAUUAAAUAAAAAAUCUAGUUUUACAGAAAA